rnacentral:rRNA from 1 species
GAUGAACGCUGGCGGCGUGCCUAAUACAUGCAAGUCGAGCGAACGUACGAGAAGCUUGCUUCUCUGAUGUUAGCGGCUGACGGGUGAGUAACACGUGGAUAACCUACCUAUAAGACUGGGAUAACUUCGGGAAACCGGAGCUAAUACCGGAUAAUAUUUUGAACCGCAUGGUUCAAAAGUGAAAGACGGUCUUUCUGUCACUUAUAGAUGGAUCCGCGCUGCAUUAUCUAGUUGGUACGGUAACGGCUUACCAAGGCAACGAUGCAUAGCCGACCUGAGAGGGUGAUCGGCAACACUGGAACUGAGACAAGGUCCAGACUCCUACGGGAGGCAGCAGUAGGGAAUCUUCCGCAAUGGGCGAAAGCCUGACGGAGAAACGCCGCGUGAGUGAUGAAGGUCUUCGGAUCGUAAAACUCUGUUAUUAGGGAAGAACAUAUGUGUAAGUAACUGUGCACAUCUUGACGGUACCUAAUCAGAAAGCCACGGCUAACUACGUG